UUUCCGUAGGUGAACCUGCGGAAGGAUCAUUAUCGAGAGUCCACCUCUCCACCCUUUGUGUACCAUCCUCCGUUUCUUCGGCGGGCCGGACCGGCCGCCGGUCCCCUCUACGGUGGACCUGCUGGUGGCCCCUGGCCCGUCGGUAGUAACUCUGUGGUCGAACGUGUCGUCUGAGUUUGGCUUCUAAUAGAACAAAACUUUCAACAACGGAUCUCUUGGUUCUG
rnacentral:misc_RNA from 1 species